rnacentral:rRNA from 1 species
AGAGUUUGAUCAUGGCUCAGGAUAAACGCUGGCGGCGUGCCUAACACAUGCAAGUCGAACGCCUUGAUGCAAAUCAGGGAGUGGCGGACGGGUGAGUAACACGUGGGUUAUCUGCCUUUCGGUGAGGAAUACCGGCGAGAAAUCGCCGACAAAACCGCAUGAGUUUGUGAAAACAAAGAAAGUCGUAAGACGCCGAAAGAUGAGCCUGCGUCCGAUUAGCUAGCUGGUGGGGUCAAAGCCUACCAGGGCGACGAUCGGUAGCUGGUCUGAGAGGACGAUCAGCCACACUGGGAUUGAGAACGGCCCAGACUCCUACGGGGGGCAGCAGUGAGGAAUUUUCGUCAAUGGGCGCAAGCCUGAACGAGCAACGCCGCGUGCAGGAAGAAGGUUUUCGGAUCGUAAACUGCUUUUCUGUGGGAAGAGAAUGGACGGUACCACAGGAAGAAGCCCCGGCUAACUACGUGCCAGCAGCCGCGGUAAUACGUAGGGGGCAAGCGUUGUCCGGAGUUACUGGGCGUAAAGGGCGUGCAGGCGGUUGGGUAAGUUUGGAGUGACAGUGCUCGGCUUAACUGAGCAAGGCCUCUGAAAACUGUUCAACUUGAGGGCCAGAGAGGGACAUAGAAUUCCGGGUGGAGUGGUGAAAUGCGUAGAUAUCCGGAGGAAUACCAAAGGCGAAGGCAGUGUCCUGGCUGGCAUCUGACGCUGAGGCGCGAAAGCUAGGGGAGCGAACAGGAUUAGAUACCCUAGUAGUCC